rnacentral:rRNA from 1 species
UACGAAGGGGGCUAGCGUUGUUCGGAAUUACUGGGCGUAAAGCGCACGUAGGCGGACUGAUAAGUCAGGGGUGAAAUCCCGGGGCUCAACCCCGGAACUGCCUUUGAUACUGUCAGUCUAGAGUUCGAGAGAGGUGAGUGGAAUUCCGAGUGUAGAGGUGAAAUUCGUAGAUAUUCGGAGGAACACCAGUGGCGAAGGCGGCUCACUGGCUCGAUACUGACGCUGAGGUGCGAAAGCGUGGGGAGCAAACGGG